ACGAACCAAUGGACCCGAUUUGCAUAUUCCGUGUCCUUCGUGUGCGUCUUCCAGUUUGGGUGGGGGUGCGUCCAGAUCUCUCAUCUGGCCCUCAUACCUGAACUCACGACGGAGAAGCGCCAGAGGACUGAGCUGAAUUCCAUUAGGUACGCCUUUACUGUGCUGUCGAACCUGAUCGUCUUCGCAGUGACCCUCCUUGUGCUGAAAACGGGUUCAGACAGCAACAUCGAUGACCCAAGUCAAAGGGUUAUCAGGUACGCCAACUGCACCGCACGGGGCGACGGGGCUGAACUAGUCGCUGUUGAACCCGUCGAGAAACCCUGUUACUUGGAUACUAUUGGGCCCGAAGAUGUGGGGAAGUUUCAUAAUGUGGCUCUGAUCUGCAUGGCUGUCGGUCUCAUCUUCUCACAAUCUUCCAUAUCGGAGUAAGGGAACAAUCCUUCUCCAGG